CGUCUAUAUACGUAUAGCAUAUCAAUAAGCGGAGGAAAAGAAACUAACUAGGAUUCCCUCAGUAACGGCGAGUGAAGCGGGAAGAGCUCAAAUUUGAAAUCUUCAAGGUUCUACCUUGACGAAUUGUAGUUUAAAGAAGUGUUUUCUGUUGGAAUUUUGGUAAAAGUUCUUUGGAAAUAGGACAUCAAUAGAGGGUGAGAAUCCCGUAUUUGACCAUUAUUUCCAGCUUUGUGAUACACUUUCAAAGAGUCGGAUUGUUUGGGAAUGCAGUCCAAAAUGGGUGGUAAAUUUCAUCUAAAGCUAAAUACUGGCGAGAGACCGAUAGCGAACAAGUACCGUGAGGGAAAGAUGAAAAGAACUUUGAAAAGAGAGUUAAACAGUACGUGAAAUUGUCAAAAGGGAAGCGUUUGACACCAGUGUUGUUUUCUCGAAAAUCAAUUAAAAAUGGCUAGGAUUUUGUGUUGUAUUGACUUUAUCAGCUUUCUGCACUUUUUCUUGUCUUUUUUAAUGCACUUUUCGUUUAACAAGUCAACAUCAAUUUCUUUUGUUGUAAAAGGGUCAUUGGAAGGUGGCUUUCUUUUCGGAGAAAGUGUUUAUAGCCUUUGGCCUCUGCAAUCGGAGAGAUUGAGGUCUGCAGCGUAGAUCCUUCGGGGUUAGAUACACUUUGUGCUAAGUUAUAGCCUUUCAUAGACAACUUGUUGACUAUGAUCAGUCAUGUAGCUUACUCGCUUAUGCUAUUUUACCUACGCUUAGGAUGUUGACGAUCAGCUGAGCGCG
rnacentral:rRNA from 1 species